GGGUUGUGAGGUUAAGCGACUAAGCGUACACGGUGGAUGCCCUGGCAGUCAGAGGCGAUGAAGGGCGUGCUAAUCUGCGAUAAGCGCCGGUAAGGUGAUAUGAACCGUUAUAACCGGCGAUACCCGAAUGGGGAAACCCAGUGUGACUCGUCACACUAUCAUUAACUGAAUCCAUAGGUUAAUGAGGCGAACCGGGGGAACUGAAACAUCUAAGUACCCCGAGGAAAAGAAAUCAACCGAGAUUCCCCCAGUAGCGGCGAGCGAACGGGGAGGAGCCCAGAGCCUGAAUCAGCAUGUGUGUUAGUGGAAGCGUCUGGAAAGGCGCGCGAUACAGGGUGACAGCCCCGUACACAAAAGCGCAUGUGCUGUGAGCUCGAUGAGUAGGGCGGGACACGUGGUAUCCUGUCUGAAUAUGGGGGGACCAUCCUCCAAGGCUAAAUACUCCUGACUGACCGAUAGUGAACCAGUACCGUGAGGGAAAGGCGAAAAGAACCCCGGCGAGGGGAGUGAAAAAGAACCUGAAACCGUGUACGUACAAGCAGUGGGAGCACAGGUUUACCUGUGUGACUGCGUACCUUUUGUAUAAUGGGUCAGCGACUUAUAUUCUGUAGCAAGGUUAACCGAAUAGGGGAGCCGUAGGGAAACCGAGUCUUAACCGGGCGUUAAGUUGCAGGGUAUAGACCCGAAACCCGGUGAUCUAGCCAUGGGCAGGUUGAAGGUUGGGUAACACUAACUGGAGGACCGAACCGACUAAUGUUGAAAAAUUAGCGGAUGACCUGUGGCUGGGGGUGAAAGGCCAAUCAAACCGGGAGAUAGCUGGUUCUCCCCGAAAGCUAUUUAGGUAGCGCCUCGUGAACUCAUCUCCGGGGGUAGAGCACUGUUUCGGCUAGGGGGCCAUCCCGGCUUACCAACCCGAUGCAAACUGCGAAUACCGGAGAAUGUUAUCACGGGAGACACACGGCGGGUGCUAACGUCCGUCGUGAAGAGGGAAACAACCCAGACCGCCAGCUAAGGUCCCAAAGUCAUGGUUAAGUGGGAAACGAUGUGGGAAGGCCCAGACAGCCAGGAUGUUGGCUUAGAAGCAGCCAUCAUUUAAAGAAAGCGUAAUAGCUCACUGGUCGAGUCGGCCUGCGCGGAAGAUGUAACGGGGCUAAACCAUGCACCGAAGCUGCGGCAGCGNNNNNNNNNNNNNNNNNNNNNNNNNNNNNNNNNNNNNNNNNNNNNNNNNNNNNNNUGCUGGAGGUAUCAGAAGUGCGAAUGCUGACAUAAGUAACGAUAAAGCGGGUGAAAAGCCCGCUCGCCGGAAGACCAAGGGUUCCUGUCCAACGUUAAUCGGGGCAGGGUGAGUCGACCCCUAAGGCGAGGCCGAAAGGCGUAGUCGAUGGGAAACGGGUUAAUAUUCCCGUACUUGGUGUUACUGCGAAGGGGGGACGGAGAAGGCUAUGUUGGCCGGGCGACGGUUGUCCCGGUUUAAGCGUGUAGGCUGGUUUUCCAGGCAAAUCCGGAAAAUCAAGGCUGAGGCGUGAUGACGAGGCACUACGGUGCUGAAGCAACAAAUGCCCUGCUUCCAGGAAAAGCCUCUAAGCAUCAGGUAACAUCAAAUCGUACCCCAAACCGACACAGGUGGUCAGGUAGAGAAUACCAAGGCGCUUGAGAGAACUCGGGUGAAGGAACUAGGCAAAAUGGUGCCGUAACUUCGGGAGAAGGCACGCUGACACGUAGGUGAAGUGAUUUACUCAUGGAGCUGAAGUCAGUCGAAGAUACCAGCUGGCUGCAACUGUUUAUUAAAAACACAGCACUGUGCAAACACGAAAGUGGACGUAUACGGUGUGACGCCUGCCCGGUGCCGGAAGGUUAAUUGAUGGGGUCAGCGCAAGCGAAGCUCCUGAUCGAAGCCCCGGUAAACGGCGGCCGUAACUAUAACGGUCCUAAGGUAGCGAAAUUCCUUGUCGGGUAAGUUCCGACCUGCACGAAUGGCGUAAUGAUGGCCAGGCUGUCUCCACCCGAGACUCAGUGAAAUUGAACUCGCUGUGAAGAUGCAGUGUACCCGCGGCAAGACGGAAAGACCCCGUGAACCUUUACUAUAGCUUGACACUGAACAUUGAGCCUUGAUGUGUAGGAUAGGUGGGAGGCUUUGAAGUGUGGACGCCAGUCUGCAUGGAGCCGACCUUGAAAUACCACCCUUUAAUGUUUGAUGUUCUAACGUGGACCCGUAAUCCGGGUUGCGGACAGUGUCUGGUGGGUAGUUUGACUGGGGCGGUCUCCUCCUAAAGAGUAACGGAGGAGCACGAAGGUUGGCUAAUCCUGGUCGGACAUCAGGAGGUUAGUGCAAUGGCAUAAGCCAGCUUGACUGCGAGCGUGACGGCGCGAGCAGGUGCGAAAGCAGGUCAUAGUGAUCCGGUGGUUCUGAAUGGAAGGGCCAUCGCUCAACGGAUAAAAGGUACUCCGGGGAUAACAGGCUGAUACCGCCCAAGAGUUCAUAUCGACGGCGGUGUUUGGCACCUCGAUGUCGGCUCAUCACAUCCUGGGGCUGAAGUAGGUCCCAAGGGUAUGGCUGUUCGCCAUUUAAAGUGGUACGCGAGCUGGGUUUAGAACGUCGUGAGACAGUUCGGUCCCUAUCUGCCGUGGGCGCUGGAGAACUGAGGGGGGCUGCUCCUAGUACGAGAGGACCGGAGUGGACGCAUCACUGGUGUUCGGGUUGUCAUGCCAAUGGCACUGCCCGGUAGCUAAAUGCGGAAGAGAUAAGUGCUGAAAGCAUCUAAGCACGAAACUUGCCCCGAGAUGAGUUCUCCCUGAGACUUAGAGUCUCCUGAAGGAACGUUGAAGACGACGACGUUGAUAGGCCGGGUGUGUAAGCGCAGCGAUGCGUUGAGCUAACCGGUACUAAUGAACCGUGAGGCUUAACCUUACAACGCCGAAG
rnacentral:rRNA from 1 species